CUAAGGAAUAUUACGGAAACUACACAGUUUGUCAACUUGCCUUUGUUCAGUUUUGAGAGGUUUACUCUCAAACAAUUUGUUCAUUGAAAACUGGAUACUUGAAGAAAAGAAUCAAAACAAACCGAGAACACCGCGUUGAAUGAGUUUUUUAAUAAGUUCAAUUGCUUAUUUUCUUGAGUAAGCUUCUAUCGCUAGAAGAACUGCUCAAAACCAGACCGUAAGGUCUUAUAA
rnacentral:misc_RNA from 1 species